AAAAGAACCUCUUCCAGGCAGAUAUCAAAACUGGACUCCUGCACAGAAGGCUCAGCUUAAAGGUGGCAGAGGAGGUGUCAUUGGUGAACAGUAUAGAUGGCGCGACGCUACCAUUCCCUACACUAUCGACCAAACGCUGGGUGGCAACCACUGCGUGGACGAAGAUUCGACUGCCCUGG